CCUACGGGAGGCAGCAGUGAGGAAUAUUGGUCAAUGGACGCAAGUCUGAACCAGCCAUGCAGCGUGCAGGAAGACGGCUCUAUGGGUUGUAAACUGCUUUUGUACAAGGAUAAAGCUGAGCACGUGUGUCCAGCUGAAAGUACUGUACGAAUAAGGAUCGGCUAACUCCGUGCCAGCAGCCGCGGUAAUACGGAGGAUCCAAGCGUUAUCCGGAUUUAUUGGGUUUAAAGGGUGCGUAGAUGGGUUGUUAAGUUAGUGGUGAAAUGUUCGAGCUUAACUGGGAAAUUGCCAUUAAUACUGUUGGUCUUGAGAAUAGAUGCGGUAGGCGGAAUGUAUGGUGUAGCGGUGAAAUGCUUAGAGAUCAUAAAGAACACCGAUUGCGAAGGCAGCUUACUAAUCUAUCUCUGACGUUGAGGCACGAAAGCGUGGGUAGCAAACAGGAUUAGAUACCCCUGUAGUC
rnacentral:rRNA from 1 species